GGGCCGAUAGCUCAGUCGGUAGAGCAACUGGCUUUUAACCAGUGGGUCGGAGGUUCGAUUCCUCCUCGGCUCACCA
rnacentral:tRNA from 1 species